UGGUAAUCUGCAUCCGGUUUGGUAACCAA
rnacentral:sRNA from 1 species